rnacentral:piRNA from 1 species
UACAUUAAACACAGAAAUAAUGGAGGUGAU